CCUACGGGUGGCAGCAGUGGGGAAUAUUGCACAAUGGGCGAAAGCCUGAUGCAGCAACGCCGCGUGAGCGAUGACGGCCUUCUGGUCGUAAAGCUAUGUUCUCCAGGCAGUUAAUUACGGUACUUGGGGAGGACGCCCCGGCCAACUUCGUUCCAGCCACCGCGGUAAUACGGAGGGGGCUAGCGUUAUCCGGAAGUACCGGGCGUAAAGGGGGCGUAGGUGGGGAUUUAAGACAGGGGUGAAAGGCUACGGCUCAACCGGAGUAAGCCGUUGAAACUGGGGAACUUGAGUGCAGGAGAGGAGAGCGGAAUUCCUAGUGUAGCGGUGAAAUGCGUAGAUAUUAGGAGGAACACCAGUGGCGAAGGCGGCUCGCUGGACUGUAACUGACACUGAGGCACGAAAGCGUGGGGAGCAAACAGGAUUAGAUACCCUAGUAGUC
rnacentral:rRNA from 1 species